CCUGGGGCCACUGUUGACCUAUUGAGUCAGUGUAAUCUCUCUCAAGUCCAUAGAUACACCUCUUUACUGGGCAAACUCCUGAAGGAGUGGGCAGUGAUAUCCCUGCUGAAUGUGUAGUUACACACACUCUAUGAAGAUUUCAUCCUUCCUCUCAGAGGUGGGUCUCUACAUGAGGUUGCUUUGAAGGUCGCAGUGAGGUGGACCACAUAAAGAUGGUAAGUUUGGAGCAUGGACUGGCACAUUUUUGGGCCCCUUACUACAACAAAGACAUGAACAUUAAAGGCUGAGGCUUUAAUGAGAAGUCAGUCUUCCAAGGGAGGGUUUAUUUGCUUGUGGUCUGAACUGAACCCUCUGAAGCUGUUAAGGGGAUGAGAAGGAGACAGCAGCAAUCUGAGCUGAGGAAGUAGAAGUGCCACAGGACUAAGAAAAGACUGGAAUGAGCUUACAUAUAAAUGGCUUGGAAAAUCACUAUUUUAUAUUAAGUUUAUGCAAGAGACAAAGCAAAAUAUUUGGCUGGCUUUCCAGCUUUGUUCAAUUUCCUUUCCGUGUACACAAAGAGAUUUCAAGCAGAGGAUUUGCUUUUCAGCACUCAGAUAUUAUUUCCGUUCAUCCAAGAAGCCCUUCCCCAAAUGCACCAUAUAUCACCAGGGACCUGCUCCACACUCCAAAUGUUUUUUUCAUGUAAUAAAUACUUGACAUUUAGAAAAAUGGCUUCAAAAUUUACAGAGUGCAGUGCUCACAGUUUGAGAUUACCCUCUAAACACCCUGAAGUGCCGGGCGCAUAAAUACAUUUCUUUGCAAAUAGAUUCACAUUUAUUAGUUUUGCAAGUGUAUUUUUGCUUCUUGGAGAUGAAUGACUGCUACAAAAAGAAACAGCUCUGGUUUAAAUGAAAUAGUAAGUGCAGGAGAAAGGCUGAUCAAAAGUGUUUAAUUCUCUCCUUGUUCUUCUGAUUUGUUUUCUGUCUUUGUAAUUCAAGUUUCAUAAUCAUGGCACUAUACAUCUAAACCAUUCAGUUGUGCUUUAUAUCAUGGUCCAACAAAAUGCAGAUCAAGAUGUGAAACAGCAACAAUAAAUGAACUGAAGUUUUA